AGGAGAGCGGAUGAGCGAGGGAUGGCGGGCAGAGCGUAGGAGGGCAGGUGAAUAUACGCAUAUUACAGUGCACGCUUUAGCCGUGAGCUGCUGAGGACCGUGUGCCUCAUAGACACAGUGACACGGAGCCGUUUUUAGCCUGGAGGACAUGCCGAGAGAGAUAUUCCGCCUCGAACUGACUUCCAGACUCAAAAGUUCGACGGAUCAACGCUAUACAAGGGCUGCUCGGAUGAGGAACGGGGGAAGCAAUAAAGAGAGCACUUAUAAAGACGGAAAUAAAGAGAGAGGCGUAAAGAGCGGGAUGGAGUCGGCCGCAAUAAACAGAACGAGGGAUCCCGGCUGAGGGAAGAAAAGAAAGGAAGUGUUUUCUCCAGUGUCCUGCCUCAAUGGCUACUGUCCCGUUGCCCUCACUCCCAUCCUCAUGAAGUGCUUGGAGAGGCUUGUCAUGAGGCACAUUAAAGACCAGCUUCCUCCUUCACUGGCCCCACUGCAAUUUGCAUAUCGCCCCAACCGAUCAACAGAUGACACCACCUCCACCACACUCCACCUGGCUCUCACCCACCUGGACAAUGAGGACACCUACGUCAGAAUGCUGUUC